AACGCUGGCGGCGCGCCUAACACAUGCAAGUGAACGGAGCACGUUUUCUGACCUCUUCGGAGUGAUGAGUGACUGAGUGGCGGACGGGUGAGUAACGCGUGGGUAACCUGCCUCGUACAGGGGGACAACAGUUGGAAACGACUGCUAAUACCGCAUAAGCGCACGGUAUCGCAUGAUACAGUGUGAAAAGCUGAGGCGGUACGAGAUGGACCCGCGUUGGAUUAGCUAGUUGGUGGGGUAACGGCCUACCAAGGCGACGAUCCAUAGCCGACCUGAGAGGGUGACCGGCCACAUUGGGACUGAGACACGGCCCAAACUCCUACGGGAGGCAGCAGUGGGGAAUAUUGCACAAUGGGCGAAAGCCUGAUGCAGCGACGCCGCGUGAGCGAUGUAGUAUUUCGGUGUGUAAAGCUCUAUCAGCAGGGAAGAAAAUGACGGUACCUGACUAAGAAGCUCCGGCUAAAUACGUG
rnacentral:rRNA from 1 species